UUUUACACUCUGCAGAGGUUGCGCAUCUUUACCCACAAGUCAUGUUACCCAUCUGCCAAGAUAUGGCCAAUCCCUUACACCUCUACCGAGGAGGCGAGGCAGGGUAACACUACGAGGCCUUUACAAAGUUCCACUAGCUUCAGAAAUCCCGCUACAGUUUAUAGGAAGCUCCAGUGCAGGGUUCUUGCCUGACCGCCAUCGUAGCAAAAUCAACCCAAGGACCUCCCUACACUGACCACUCCCCUACUGCCCUUGCCCCUUUCGGGUAAGGAAGACAUCCACUAGCUUUCCUAGUUAAUCAGCCAAGGGCGUCCCAUUAUACCCUUGUGGUAGCACUGUUUUCCUGGGUGGUCGCUCCAUGUUCCUAUUAACAUAAUGAUCUUAACAUGCAUAGUAAUAAUAAACAGAUAAUAAAGAUGUAGUUAUGAAUAAAGUAUCUUCAUACCCAAAUCCACAUAAAGCAAUAGCAGGUACUACCCAAAGAAAUAUUUCAGUGGUAAACAAGGUAUAAAGAUAGCCAAAACUAGGGUAACCUAUUAGGUCCCAUCAAAAUUAACCUAUGCAGAUCAUUAUAAUUAACAAGAACAUGGCUGGGAAAAGUAAGUGAUCAAGGGCACAACUUGCCUGACACUUGAGAUCCAGUUACCAGGGUGAACUUCAGGUGACUUGAAACCUCGCGCUAGUCGUAGCAAUACAAACAAAAUGGUAUAGAUAAAAUUAACAUCACACCAAACAUAAGAAUAUACUACAUAAUAAUGAUCUACGCGCUUGUACGAGACUAACGCGACUUGAACGGAUCAAAUCGGAGUUAAAACGAAGGAGAUACGAAUUUCCUAAGGUUUUAUGUAUUUGAUACAAGGUUAAUUAAGAAAUAAAUUUUAAUACCAUUUUCAUGUUAAAAUAGAGACACAGGGUGAUAAACAACAUUAUUACAAAAUUAUAGAAACUGAAAUGGAUUAAUUUGGACUACAUAUGAAUUUUGUAUGAAUUAAACCAAUUCUAGCAUUUAUUUCUACAUUAAAAAUCCAAUUCUAUAUUUGUUUUCUGAUUUUUCUGGCUCUCUGAACUGGGCGCACUAAUACAGAGAAGUUCAGGGGUCCCGGUGUAAAUUUUUCCCAGACACAGCUUAACCCACUGAUGGAUGGCGAGCUGAAUAUGAAGCACCCCGAGGACUCUUAUGCAAGAUGCGCUGGCUGAAGGGGUACGGUGCAGAUCUAGCCGUCCGAUUAGAAAUGGAGGGCUCAGAUUAGAUCUAGGUUUCGCAUGAACCGGUAUGAAGCAGCUACCACCAGAUCAGGAAUCAACGGCCGCAAAUCGACCACGCUACCAGAUACUGCCUGCCAUCAGAUCGAUAACAUACAGCACUGAUUUAAUCUCGCGAAUGGAUACGCUCUCUUCUAAUCGCACCCGUCCGAAUUGGAUCGGACGGUAACCAUACCUUCUCCUUUCACUAGCCAGCCCGAGGCGGCGCCAGGAGCUCUCCACGGCGGAGACUCACCGGCGCACCGCCAAAUUCGCCUGUUCUGGCGACAUCGUUCUCACCGUGGUGCGAAAAAAAACGAAAUUGAAGCAAGUUCAAUUACAAAGGGGGUGCCUCACCGGAGGGUUAAGCGAUGGCCGAGCGGGUUCACGACGGAGGGUAACUUGGCGUAGUUUCACACCUCCGGCGAACAAUCUCCACUACUCCCACGGCGCCCCGCGUGCGCGAGUCCCUUCACCAGCACCCAUCUCGGCCACCCUCCCAGUCACCAAGGUCCCGCUCGAUGUGGCCGGCCACGCCUUCGCGGCGGCGCUUUCCCCCUACUCUCUGUUUAGCGGUGGCGAGUCCAUGGACACGGAGCUCUCGGGGACUGGUUCAAAGGAAGGUAGGGGCACGGUCACAAGCGAUUAGAGGCUUAUAGCGGAGGAAGGACGGGCUUGCGGGGUUGGCCGCAACGGCCACAACGAGCUCCAAGGCGGCAACUGCGGCAUGCAACCGGAUGCCCGAGGAUACGGUUGACCCCCAACAACCGCAACGACGGGACCGCAGGGAAAUCGUGGCUCAUGCGGACGCCAAAGUGCGGCACCGAGUCCCUUACCGAGACAGCGGGAGAAGAAGAGGGAGAUGAUAGACUCGACCGGUGGGUCCCAUCCCGAAGCCUUCCUGCGCGCGGCGAGUGGCACCAGGUAGCGACU
rnacentral:lncRNA from 1 species